UUGAAAGAAAUUUAAUACAUGUUCUUUAAUACAUUUAACCUCUCAGGAGACUAACCAUUUAGAAGAUGUUGCUGUUACAAGUUCAGCCCCAACUUCUCAUGAUUUGUAUGAAGUUUUCGGUCUAAAAAGAGCUCAAGUUAAAUACAGUCAACCAGUACAUGGAACAAAAGAGAAAGAGCAUGUACAUAUGCCUGUCAAGACCAAAUCUGUCCACAGGGAAGUUGCUACUGCUGCUGCUACCAAAAGAGUUGUUGGUUCUUCAAGAAUGAAAAGGAAAAACAAAGUACUAUAAAUAUUGAUAGUAGAGCCUUAGAUGGUUUUUUUUUGUUUUGAUGUAGAUUAUGGACUGAGGUUGACAAUAGGAAUGGUCCUUUUUUGAAGCAGACAUCAUAUUUUGGUGUGGUCACUUUUUUGUUUGUUGUCCUCAGAAUUAGUGCUACGAUGUGAACACAUGGUUUUGGUACUUUAUUAAUGGAGGUGAAAAAAUUUGUCUUGUCCA
rnacentral:lncRNA from 1 species